CCAAUAAAAGGCCCUCACGACUCUCUCGCACUGCUCUGUAUCUCAGAACUCUUUUUCUUCUUCUUCAUCAACUUCUUCAAUUCUUCACAGUUCACGCUAUUGGAGGCGAUCGAUAAUUAAGAGCAAUGACGAAGGGGGAUGACUAUGAGAUGAUUAAAACUGCAAAUGAGAAGCGCCCCAAGCUGGAUGCGAGGCUUCCGCCGAAGAGGGGAGCUGUCAAAGUCAGGAUCGUUAAGCUCCUGGCGGAGAAGCUCAAGCUUGUCUCUCUCUGUCAGUGCGUGUGUUCCCCUCCAGUGGCGGAUCUCGGAGAGGCUGGCGGAGGUGCUUCCACCUCCAAGUCCACCUCUACAGUUUCCCCUAUUUCCUGAGCAAUGUCGGGAGAGAUGCAGAGCAGAGCAGAGCAGAACAGAGCAGACCAGUCCUUGAGUGAAACAGAGGAAGGAAGGGAGGGAGGGAGGGAGAGGAAUUGAUCUUUCUAUCAAAUAUCAUUGUGGUUAUUGACUGUUGUUAUUUUUUGCUGUUGCUGUUUUUUGUUGUUAUAAGCUGAUGUUCUUAAUAAUAAUAUUGCCGUGUGCGCUCAUUAAUAUUGUUAAGCCCUUCUUAAUUCAUGAGAAGAAGAGGGGCUUUGACUCACGUGGGCAAAGACAAUAUAUUUACGGUGGUCU